AUUGAACGCUGGCGGAAUGCUUUACACAUGCAAGUCGAACGGCAGCACGGGGCAACCUGGUGGCGAGUGGCGAACGGGUGAGUAAUACAUCGGAACGUGCCCAAUCGUGGGGGAAAACGUAGCGAAAGUUACGCUAAUACCGCAUACGAUCUACGGAUGAAAGCGGGGGAUCGCAAGACCUCGCGCGAAUGGAGCGGCCGAUGUCAGAUUAGGUAGUUGGUGGGGUAAAGGCUCACCAAGCCAACGAUCUGUAGCUGGUCUGAGAGGACGACCAGCCACACUGGAUCUGAGACACGGUCCAGACUCCUACGGGAGGCAGCAGUGGGGAAUUUUGGACAAUGGGCGCAAGCCUGAUCCAGCCAUUCCGCGUGCAGGAUGAAGGCC
rnacentral:rRNA from 1 species